GACGAACGCUGGCGGCGUGCCUAAUACAUGCAAGUAGAACGCUGAAGGAGGAGCUUGCUUCUCUGGAUGAGUUGCGAACGGGUGAGUAACGCGUAGGUAACCUGCCUGGUAGCGGGGGAUAACUAUUGGAAACGAUAGCUAAUACCGCAUAAGAGUAGAUGUUGCAUGACAUUUGCUUAAAAGGUGCAAUUGCAUCACUACCAGAUGGACCUGCGUUGUAUUAGCUAGUUGGUGGGGUAACGGCUCACCAAGGCGACGAUACAUAGCCGACCUGAGAGGGUGAUCGGCCACACUGGGACUGAGACACGGCCCAGACUCCUACGGGAGGCAGCAGUAGGGAAUCUUCGGCAAUGGACGGAAGUCUGACCGAGCAACGCCGCGUGAGUGAAGAAGGUUUUCGGAUCGUAAAGCUCGGUUGUAAGAGAAGAACGAGUGUGAGAGUGGAAAGUUCACACUGUGACGGUAUCUGACCAGAAAGGGACGGCUAACUACGUG
rnacentral:rRNA from 1 species